GCCAGAUGAUCUCGAUCUCCUGAGUUCGUAAUCCACCAGCUUCCGCCUCCCAAAGUGCUGGGAUUACAGACGGGAAGGACUUUGACUGUGCACUGGUGCUCCUGUGCAGGGCAUGGAGGCCUGCAGAUCAGAACCGCAGUCUCCCCUAUGUCUUCGUGGAAUACCCUAUUUUCCCUGGAAUAUAAGAUGGGAGUUCUUGUGAGAAGAUUUCUACAAGUGCAGGUGUAGCCCUCGCUGCCCUCCACACUUUCUCCACAAGAGGGAGACAGUGUUCCGCAGGACCACAGCACUCGCUGCGUUCC
rnacentral:lncRNA from 13 species